AGGUGGCGCAUGCGUGGUCAGCGCCGCCGCUGGGGGCGGCUGUCUUUUAUGGCAGCUGCGCGGCGUCGCCGCCUCGAGAGCGGGAAUGGAAUCGGAAAGAAUUUUUUUUAAGCCCCACCAGGACCAGCAGCGCAAUUCACGUGCAACAGACAAAGCGCGCGCACUGUGUGGAUAAGAACAGCAGAGAUUCUUGCAGCAUCUUAAAGGAGGAGGACUAAGCAUGUACGCGUCAGAUACGGAAGCUUUUCUGUCGAAAUUUUCAUAGGGUUGGGCCUAACACGUUUAUCCUGGCACUAGCUAAGCCUCCGGUGCUGAAAGAAGGCCAGAAAUAAAAGAAGAAAAAGAUGUUGAGGCUCCACCAGAAGGAAAUUCUUCUUCGCAUGGUGCACAGUUAAACUACGCAAUUUGCUACUGAAAGAUCAAGGUGAUGGGCACCAAUCUGGAUGGCUUUCGAAGGGGAGUAUACCACUUAAUGGAGGAGAAGUCCAUGCCUCCCACAUGCAUCCAUACACCACUUGCUGGCCAAGGCGGGGAGGGGCCUGUGGCUUUCAGGGCCUGUUUGUGGGCUUCUCACAGGGGUCUGGUUGGCCUCUGUGCAAACACGGCUCUGGAUCAAAGGCAGCUUUGCUCUGAUUCAGCGCAGCCACUUAACCUUCUGCUUACAAUGCAGGAGACGUGGACGUGGUGUGGGAAUAAAGGUAUUAUGGGUAUGUCCCUAUUUUUAUGUGCAAAAGGCUGAAAUGUGUUUAGGAUUGGUCAAAACGCAUCCAACAAGGCCACAGGGCCGUGCGUUUUCAGUUCAAGAGAGCGCUUGUUCCCUGACGUUCGCAGUGUCGUGUCCCAGGGACAGAAACAACCAAGCGCCCGGUCAUGUGAACCGGUUCUUUGGUGUACAGAGGAAUGUCACACUGCCGCCAUGCACCUGUGCCUGGAGAACAGUCAGUCACUGAGCCCUCCACCCCCCCGUCCCGAAAACGGGGGCAUCGUGUCACAGGAAAUGAGCAAAAGGAGAGCAAACUCUCCCAGGCACUCAGAGAAAGAUAAUGUAAUGCUUCCCUCAGAUCAAUGUGGAUUUUGGUUUGUGAGUUAUUAGGCCAAGGUCAUAAACAACCCCUGAAACCACAAAAGUAAAAAAAAUAAAAAAAAAUCUUCAUUUAUCUCCUGUGCUGCCUUUUCACAGCCUCCCCUCCCCAAUUCUUUUCAGUCCAAAAAACACCCUUAAACAUCUAUUUCCUACUGCACGGGCCACAUCCUUCUGUGCACAAACAGAUCCUGCAGGAUCUGGAGCCUAAAGAGCUGAUCUGAGAACUCGUUUUUCUUCCAUGAUCGUCCAUAGCAGGGGGAAAGGCCUUUCGGAACAGCUGGAGCAGAAGUGCCACCAGGAAGAAGCCUGGGCCACUUCAGGAGCCCUCCAGGGGGGCAGCUGCUUGAUUCCAGGGUCCAUUACCAGGCCUUGGUAGCAGCACUUCUGGGCAAUUGUGGCAGCCGCCUCUGGAUUGCAAGAGAGAGGGAGAGAGGCCCCACUUAGUCUUGAAGCUCACGCAAUUACUCUCAGCCUAACUUCCCUCACAGGGCUUGCUCUUGUUGGCUCUUGCUUGCCAACAAGUUGUCUCUGAUAACACAUAAUGACCUUAUGAAUGAGAGCUGUCCAAAACGUCUGUCCACAACAGCUCUGUUCAGCUCUUCCAGAUUCGAGGCUGUGGCUUCCUGUAUGGAUUCCAUCUUGUAUUUGGUUUUCCCUUUCUUCUUCUGCCUUUGACCUUCCCUGGCAUGAUGGUCUUCUCUAGGGACCUUUUUGCCUCCUCAUGAUCUGUCCAAAUCAUGUUAGUCCCAGAUUUGUCAUUUUUGCUUCUAGGGAAAGCUCUGGCUUGAUUUGAUCCAAGAUGCAAUUCACAGCGUUCUGGGAGGACAGAACGGAGGAGAGGAGAACCAUCAAGAAUAAUUAUACAACAUGUGGAAAAUUCCAGAAUGGUCAAGAUUAACUGUCAGUGUAAUCCUACAUUUGUCUAUGCAGGACCUGGGAGAGCUGCCACAGGCUGCUGAAGUUGCUCUGAUCAAAUCCAAGUGCUUGCCUUUAACUUUCCCAAGCAUGACGCUCUUCUCCAGAAACGUUUUGCCUAAACAUGUGUUGGUGCUGCAUUAAAAGAACACACAGAACAAAACCAAAACAAAAUCCUACUGGACCACAAGAAAAGACACCCACGCUCUCCUUUGGACCACCCACCCCAUGCCCUUCCGCAGUGCUCUGAGAAUUUGUGUGUUUUUCCCUUCCCCACUGAGACACAUUCAAGUUCUGCUCCAGCCUGCUCUGUCCUUGAAAAUACAGCUGCAUGAUUUAGUUUCCUGCUUGGACAUGAUACAAUUUUGACUCCUGUGAUAGACAGGGAGUGAGCAGAAUGCAGCAAAAAGCCGCAAAACUGGAUUCUCUUUGAAAAGAACCAGCUAAUGAUUGCUUUCCUUGCAUCUGUCUAGGUGAAAAACACACUUAUGCUGUCAAUAUGGAUUACAGGGUAGAUGGGUGCCAGGAACUAGCUCAAAUGGAGCUUCUUUAAAACAUGCAUUGAUGAAGAUGAUUAUGGCUCCAUUUUGCCAUGAGAGGUGAGAUCAGCCUGUAUCCCUGUAGUGCACAACAAUGGCUAGAAACAUCAGGCAGGUAUCUGUCAUUUUAGGGAAACUGUUUUGGUCCUUGCAUUUGUGAGCCUUAACCCUAACAUGCAGAAGGCAAGCUGGAUCUGCACAGAUGCUCCAUUCUCUAUUUUCUUACAUUUCUCCUUGGUAAAAUACUCUAUAUUCUGCCUCUCCUUUGCUUUUGAGAAAGAGGUUGAAUUCCUAGACUCCCUCCCUACCUCCCUCCCUCUCACACAUCCUAUCCUUUCACACACAGAGACAUGCUGCUUCUGAUCAAUUCACACACAUCAGUUCAUAUUCCUUCACCCCCACAUCAACCUGAGUGACUUGAAAGAUAACUUAGAAAGCAGUUGCGUAUCUGAGGAUGCAGUCUGCAGUACAUAAAAACAUAGGCUAUGACAAAUGGACAAAUCAUCCAUAUGCCACAAAAUUCUUCAUUGCUUUUAUGACAACUCCCUCUAUGAAUAUCAUGCAUCGUGGGAGUUGGACUACAACUCUCAUCAUUCCACAGACAGCAUAGCCAAUAGCUGGGAAUCCUGGGAGUUGUAGAUUAAAACAUCUGGAAAGCAGCAGGUUGAUGAAAGAUGGAUGAGCACAAGGGUGACAUGGCAGAGAUGCGUCAUUUCAACUUUACAUUUGACUUUCUGUUGUUAUGUGAUCGAGAAGGUGGAAUCUCUGCUGACCUGCUUUGAACCACCCUGAGAUCUACCAGCAGAUCCCGAUGGGCCUCCUGCCGGCUUGUAUGAAAAGCCUCACGGAGAAGCGCCCUGCAGGUGCCAGUGGGAAGACCUAAGAGGAUGAGCGGGGCCGUCUCGCUGAGCAAUGGCCCUUUUCAUCUGAUUAAAUGAAAUCCGCUGCUCUGGAAGCUUUUGAGCCAGUUCAUUAAAAUGAAUUCAGUCCCAUG